GCUGGGCAUGGUGGCUCAUGCCUGUAGUCCCAGCUACUUGGGAGGCUGAGGCAGGAGAAUCGCUUGAACCUGGGAGGCGGAGGUUGCAGUGAGCUGAGAUCGCGCCACUGUACUCCAGCCUGGGUGACAGAGCGAGACUCCGUCUCAA
rnacentral:SRP_RNA from 1 species